UACGUAGGGUGCAAGCGUUGUCCGGAAUUAUUGGGCGUAAAGGGCUCGUAGGCGGUCCAUCGCGUCGGGAGUGAAAAGCUGGGGCUUAACCCCAGUCCUGCUUCCGAUACGGGUGGACUAGAGGUAGGUAGGGGAGAACGGAAUUCCUGGUGUAGCGGUGAAAUGCGCAGAUAUCAGGAGGAACACCGGUGGCGAAGGCGGUUCUCUGGGCCUUACCUGACGCUGAGGAGCGAAAGCAUGGGGAGCAAACGGG
rnacentral:rRNA from 1 species